rnacentral:lncRNA from 1 species
CACAAGAGUUAAACAAACCUAAAGGUAGUUUGAAAUCUGUCAUAUUGUCUAUUUUCUUUCUGAAUCCUAAUACACGUUAGACCAAGCAUCUUGGCAGUAGGACGAUAAUCCGCUGGUAAUUCUUGGGCGGGUUGACGAAAUCUUUACAAUUCAGGGCUGAUCCCUUAGCGACAUAAUCGAAAUACGUUUAGCAAUACUGCCAGUAAUUUAGAACGAGGCAAUUACACAAGCUAGUAAUCCUUUUUUAAAAGAAAAAGAAAAGAAUUCAGGGAUUAGUAAAUAUUCCAGACGCUCUUUUCUCUUUGAAUCACCUGGUUUCAUUCCAGAGAAGAUUAGUAAGACUUAAAAACCAUUCUCAGCCCCAAAACCUACUGGUUAGCCUAUUUUGACCUAAAGGAACCUCUAGGUUCACUCAGGAAGAGCAGUUUUUUAAAAAAGACUGAGUUUGACCUUCAAUCAGGCGUCUCCUUCCUGCUGUGCUUUGGCAGCACAGCCCAAGGUCAUUCUCAACAUCCUGUGAAAAUGUUGCUCUUUCAUGUAGAAUUGUAGCGGUUUUCCCAAAGUGGUGAAUGCAAGUUUUGAGUCACCGGCCUUUCAACAAGUUUAAACAGAGGCAUUAGAUGGUCUCAGUAAGGGUGUUGAAUGUGUAUAAACUACCCAGCUGUCCGUCUUAACCCCCAAAUAAUUCAUAACCUCAUUUCUUUUACUGGUAAAUUUCAAUACUAGUAGUGUCUAGAAUGCUAGAAUUGUCUGGAAUGAUCUGCAUUUCGUUAUUUUUACAAUCACUUUUUAGUUUGUGGGUUUAGAGAAAUCAGUUUUCUCAUUUAAAAAACAAUAUAAAAAACGUUGUGCCCUGCAGGUCAUUCCUUCUCCUAUUUGUGGUUUUCAAAAGGGCAGCUGCCAAGUGAGAAGGCACCUGGGCUGCCAGGACUCUGCGUCUCUCAGUCAUUCCAGAGACGGGAGAUAAGGAAGCGUUUCUCCAGCCUUGGAGCUUCAUGAAUAAUUCCAUGCCCAUCCGCAUCUGCAACGGGCUGGGACGCAACAGAGAGUUGAGUGUUCUCCUAGGAAGAACAUUUUCUCAGUUUGUCCUAGCUUACAAAGAUGAGUAAACGAUGGCAUUUUUCUGUGAUAAGUAGU